CCUACGGGGGACAGCAGUGGGGAAUAUUGGACAAUGGGCGAAAGCCUGAUCCAGCCAUGCCGCGUGUGUGAAGAAGGCCUUCGGGUUGUAAAGCACUUUCAGUGGGGAAGAAAGCCUUGGGGCUAAUACCCUCGAGGAAGGACAUCACCCACAGAAGAAGCACCGGCUAACUCCGUGCCAGCAGCCGCGGUAAUACGGAGGGUGCGAGCGUUAAUCGGAAUUACUGGGCGUAAAGCGCGCGUAGGCGGUCUGAUAAGCCGGUUGUGAAAGCCCCGGGCUCAACCUGGGAACGGCAUCCGGAACUGUCAGGCUAGAGUGCAGGAGAGGAAGGUAGAAUUCCCGGUGUAGCGGUGAAAUGCGUAGAGAUCGGGAGGAAUACCAGUGGCGAAGGCGGCCUUCUGGACUGACACUGACGCUGAGGUGCGAAAGCGUGGGUAGCAAACAGGAUUAGAUACCCGGGUAGUC
rnacentral:rRNA from 1 species